GAUGAACGCUAGCGGCAGGCCUAAUACAUGCAAGUCGAACGGUGUCUUCGGACAUAGUGGCGCACGGGUGCGUAACACGUAUGCAACCUACCUUACAUUGGGGGAUAGCCUUUCGAAAGGGAGAUUAAUACCGCAUAAGACAGUAGCUGGGCAUCCAGCAGCUGUUAAAGAUUUAUCGAUGUAAGCUGGGCAUGCGUCCAAUUAGCUAGUUGGUGAGGUAACGGCUCACCAAGGCAAUGAUUGGUAGGGGAACUGAGAGGUCAAUCCCCCACACUGGCACUGAGAUACGGGCCAGACUCCUACGGGAGGCAGCAGUAGGGAAUAUUGGGCAAUGGACGCAAGUCUGACCCAGCCAUGCCGCGUGCAGGAUGAAGGCGUUAUGCGUUGUAAACUGCUUUUAUACAGGAAGAAACGACUCUUGCGAGAGGCAUUGACGGUACCUUAUGAAUAAGCACCGGCUAACUCCGUGCCAGCCGCCGCAGUAAUAC
rnacentral:rRNA from 1 species